rnacentral:antisense_RNA from 1 species
GAUAGCCAAAAAUUACAGCUGGAUUUAAAGUAGGAUUACUAAUAAAACGUACAUCGCCACCACCUGGAGCCCAUGUAUCAUAUAUACCACCACUAAAUAAAGCUUUAAUAACAAGUAAAAAUGCGCCUAUACCUAGAAGUAUUAAAUGAAUACCUAAUAUAGUUGUCAUUUUAUUUUUAUCUCUCCA